rnacentral:rRNA from 1 species
UACGUAGGGUGCAAGCGUUGUCCGGAAUUAUUGGGCGUAAAGAGCUCGUAGGCGGUCUGUUGCGUCGGCUGUGAAAACCCGGGGCUCAACCCCGGGCCUGCAGUCGAUACGGGCAGACUGGAGUUCGGCAGGGGAGACUGGAAUUCCUGGUGUAGCGGUGAAAUGCGCAGAUAUCAGGAGGAACACCGGUGGCGAAGGCGGGUCUCUGGGCCGAUACUGACGCUGAGGAGCGAAAGCGUGGGGAGCAAACGGG